GCAGAUUUGAACAUAUACAGAAAGGCAGAUUUACAGAUGGUCCCUGCCAUCUCCCACCCUGGUGCAGAAGAGGUAGGAGAAAUGCAUGACAUAAAACUAUGGCAGAGCUAAGUGGGAAAACGAAAGCAGAAUGAACCCAUUGUGACCAAGCAGCAUGGCAGAGGCUUGUGGGGCUGGGACUGGGGACCAGUGGCAUGCAGUGGGUGAAGGACAGGCCCUGUCUGGUCCCAGAGAAGACACAACAGAAGAACGCUAAUAUAAGAGAGAUGUAACAACCUGGCAGAAAAAGGAAGGUUGCGGGAGGGAGGAGACAUCAGGAAAUCAGCCUGUUUGCAGAAGACUAGCAGCUCCAGUCUGCAGUAUGAAAACCAAACUCGGCUCUUUCUGAUUCACGUAUCACUCACGAUAAAGGCUGGCAUUUGGGGAAGAUCUCACUGGUGGAGGAAGAGCUGGAUGAGGGUCUGGCUGCUUUGCCCUCCUGCUGCAGAGUCGCCGCAGCUGAGAAGGGUAAGACUCGGAGAGGGCUGUGCCUUCUUGCUGCCAGCUGCCAAGCUGUCCCUUUGCAUGAGGUUAUCAUCUGUGGAGCUCUGCUGGCAAAGCAGUAGUUUCAGCACUUGCUAAUCCACUUUUAUGCAAAAUCUACCAGGUUAGCUUAGAUGGUUUAAAUUGAUUUAGCCCUGCUGCUGUUGCCUAAAGUAGAUUAGGAGAUCCUUAUAUCUUUUCUCCAGCCAGAAAGAGCUAGCUGAGAGCAGUCAGCGUACAGUAGAUUUUUCGGCAAGCGUGGAGAGAUCCAGAAAUCAUCACCCUACAGCUUUAGCCUUUGACGUGCCAGACGGCAACACCCAGCCGAAUGGCCCUCCUCCACUUGUCUCCUCAUUUGUAUAACAUCACUUCCCCGUAUCUCCAGUGAAUAUUCCGGACUGCAGUGACAGGAGCAGUUUUGGAGAAGAAUCAGGACCCCAAAUCCUGGAGGAAGAAGCGCAUGUGGACCAUGGCCACCUGGUUAACAGAGCUAUGCUGCAGAAGACCAAUACUUCUUAUCACGGCAAUACCACUCUCAAAUCUGCCCAACUUUCAGAUAGUUGGCAUCCUGACUUUUCUACAAGGCAAUCAAUUACUCUGAGUGGAGAGAGGAAAGGCAGAAGAGAAAUCACAUGAGGAGGAUAUGGGAAGUACUGGUAGAGAAAGAAGAGUCUCAGAGAAAGGCCUUCUGCGAGAGCAUCAUACUUGAUUUUUACUAAAUGUGUCUGCAAGGCAAUCAGACUCAUCUAAGUCACUGUUCAGCCUCUCAAGCAUUUGCUCAUAUGAUCUCAAACACAUAGUUGUGUGUCUCACUGAAUGAAGCCCCAGCCCUGCAAGUAUUUUGGGCGCAAGUCAUUAUACAACAAAAAAUACGUUCCCGAGCAUUACAGGGUGAGGGCCUAGGAUGGACUUGGCCUUGUGCUGAAGUACUUUGCUGAACCAGACAAUAGUAGUAUUACAUUUCAUAGCGUUUGAUAAUAAGACAUCGUGUAAUGUGAUGCAGAAAUUAAAGAUGAGAAAGGAACUGAAAGUUUACCUCUCUAAUGAGGAGUCAUACUGGUAGUAUUAAGGUAGAUGCUUCCACCUAGUGACUUACAGU
ensembl:lncRNA